GGCCCAGCCAGUCAAACCCAGAACAGCCCGGCUGAGCUCAGCCUAAUUCUGUGACUUUCAGGAUGAAUGAAGAGCUAUAAGAAUGGAAUCGAGACUAGGAGAGGAACAUCCAAAGGAGAGAAAAUGACUGCAGUGGGAGAGAACAAGAGCUACGAUCAAAAAGAGGAGAGACAAGCAGCACUGAGGAAGACAGAAGGGUAAGAAGAGAUGAUGUCAGAAGUGGGAUCCAAAGAAAAGCUUCCAGUGACCCCCAGGAGCACUGAGUGACCAAGCAAGCAAGAAAAGGUUAAAUGACUUGUGCACUGGGAAGAAAAAAAAAAAAAACAGUUGUCAUCCGUGGUGCCAAAAAUAGAAGUUCUGAUUUCCAGUCCUGUGAUCUCAACAGAAGACAGAAUGUUCACUCUAUCUGACUGAUACAAAAUACAACUUCUCCAAGGACUCUAUUAUUUUGAACUACUGUGUGCUGCACAUAUGCCAGGAGCUGAUUCAGUGGUUUCAUCCAAAUGUAAAGCAAAAUAUGGAAUUAUUUCAACAUAUAAUAAUAACUACUGUUACACUUAUGUAAGGCAAUAAAAAUAUUUUUGGCAAAAGCUUGUCCUGCUUUCUUUUUUGAGCAUAAUUUAUGUUUUACAAUCUUGUUGGCAAAAGUGUGACCUAUGUCUGUUUUUGUUCUGGUGAGUGCAACUAAGAAUGAUGCCACUGUCAUUUUUGUUCUUUUCUCUGUUUUGCAUGACAACAUUAAUAACUUUCACAAGGAAAAGUAUUAACUAGCAAAUAUUUCUGAAAAACUCAGAUAACCACAAAGAU
rnacentral:lncRNA from 10 species